rnacentral:rRNA from 1 species
GCCAGCCCGCUCAGAACUCAAAGGAAUUGACGGGGCCGCACAAGCGGAGGAGCAUGUGGUUUAAUUCGAUGAUACGCGAGGAACCUUACCUGGGCUCGAACGUAAGAUGACUGUAGGUGAAAGCUUACAUCUCUUCGGAGCAUUUUACGAGGUGCUGCAUGGUUGUCGUCAGCUCGUGCCGUGAGGUGUCGGGUUAAGUCCCAUAACGAGCGCAACCCCUACCUUUAGUUGCCAUCAGGUAAUGCUGGGGACUCUAAAGGAACUGCCUACGCAAGUAGUGAGGAAGGCGGGGAUGACGUCAAAUCAGCACGGCCCUUACGUCCAGGGCUACACACGUGCUACAAUGGCCGAUACAGAGGGCAGCUACCUGGUGACAGGAUGCAAAUCUCCAAAGUCGGUCUCAGUUCGGAUCGGAGUCUGCAACCCGACUCCGUGAAGUUGGAUUCGCUAGUAAUCGCGCAUCAGCCAUGGCGCGGUGAAUACGUUCCCGGGCCUU